UACGUAGGGCGCAAGCGUUAUCCGGAAUUAUUGGGCGUAAAGAGCUCGUAGGCGGUUUGUCGCGUCUGCUGUGAAAGACCGGGGCUCAACUCCGGUUCUGCAGUGGGUACGGGCAGACUAGAGUGAUGUAGGGGAGACUGGAAUUCCUGGUGUAGCGGUGAAAUGCGCAGAUAUCAGGAGGAACACCGAUGGCGAAGGCAGGUCUCUGGGCAUUAACUGACGCUGAGGCGCGAAAGCGUGGGGAGCAAACAGG
rnacentral:rRNA from 1 species